CAUUUUCCCUAUCGAUGCGAUUACCUGUUAUACUCGAACGGGAUAAUGUUGGCCAUUACCCAAACACCAGUCUUUUAGUGGGCCCCACAUAAGUUAGUUUCAUAAAAACCAAUAAGAACCCAACACGUGUUAGGUUGUUGGCGGGAGCGCCAAAAGCAUUUCCCUGUUUUUAUUUUAUACGCUGCAUAUAUGCUCCGCCUUCGUCUUUUUCUCUUGUCGAAUCAAACGCUUUGGAAAAACCUUUCCCGAUCUAUCAUCGUCUCGAAGAAAGUGAUCACUGAUUCUUGUUCGAAAAGACUUGCUCGGAUCAUCCUCGAUCAAUGUUCGCUGAUUCUCUCUGUUUCUCUGCGGUUUAUCGAUGCCUUACGGCUUGCGGUAUUCUUAUAUGCCCUUUUAGAUGGACGGAGGUGAUACCCGCCUUCCAUGUCCGUGUACCAGCGGCGGAUCCACAUAGAGGCUUUUGCUCGCUGUGGUUAUGGAGGUAGAGAAAAGACCAGAGCAUUAAUAAGCCAAACAACUUUAAGAAAUCAAGUGAGCUUUUGAGAUGGACAAAGCUUCUGUUUCCGAACGCAUUACUGUUAUAGAUCAUCCGUUAUCAAUAUACUUGUUACCUUUCCGGAAUAAAAGAACAGGUAUUCAUUGAGCAAAACGAAUAUGCACAAUGUGUUUGAUGUUGCAUGUGGUUCUGUUUAUGUCAAUAAUUUAGAACAUGAACUGGCUGAUUCAAGUGUGACUGGUGCAGGUCUCAAUUCUCUACUUUGGACUCCUCAAACACGAAGUCAUUAUGAAGAGUGGCUUCUACUUCAACCUUGAAGGUCUUUUGAACAGGCAAACAAAAAUGUAACGUGCCUCAUGAUCGUCGAUUCGUAUUAAUGUCAUGAAAUCGGCUGCAGGAAUAUAUCAUGGACUUUUUCUGAACCAAAUUUUGAUGCUACCAGAUUGCUCGGUUCAUUCAACAUUCGUGUUAAAGGCUACACUUACUCCAAUUAACGGCGUGCAGAAAGGAGGGGCUGGUGAUAUCCUUCUUUUCCUGAUUACAUCUGUAAUCCAAAAAAAAUAAAGGCAACAAACAGGAAAAACCUAAUUAAAAAGUGGCCAAAAAAGCAAUUACAGGA